rnacentral:rRNA from 1 species
GACAGAGGUGCCGAGCGUUAGGCGGAAUCACUGGGCUUAAAGCGUGUGUAGGCGGGUCGUUAAGUGUCUUGUGAAAUCCCCCGGCUCAACCGGGGAAUGGCUGGGCAUACUGGCGAUCUUGAGCAGUCUAGGGGCAGAUGGAACAGACGGUGGAGCGGUGAAAUGCGUAGAUAUCGUCUGGAACGCCAAAGGUGAAAACAGUCUGCUGGGGACUUGCUGACGCUGAGACACGAAAGCCAGGGGAG